rnacentral:rRNA from 1 species
UUGAACGCUGGCGGCAGGCCUAACACAUGCAAGUCGAGCGGAUGAAGGGAGCUUGCUCCUGGAUUCAGCGGCGGACGGGUGAGUAAUGCCUAGGAAUCUGCCUGGUAGUGGGGGAUAACGUCCGGAAACGGGCGCUAAUACCGCAUACGUCCUGAGGGAGAAAGUGGGGGAUCUUCGGACCUCACGCUAUCAGAUGAGCCUAGGUCGGAUUAGCUGGUUGGUGGGGUAAAGGCCUACCAAGGCGACGAUCCGUAACUGGUCUGAGAGGAUGAUCAGUCACACUGGAACUGAGACACGGUCCAGACUCCUAAGGGAGGCAGCAGUGGGGAAUAUUGGACAAUGGGCGAAAGCCUGAUCCAGCCAUGCCGCGUGUGUGAAGAAGGUCUUCGGAUUGUAAAGCACUUUAAGUUGGGAGGAAGGGCAGUAAGUUAAUACCUUGCUGUUUUGACGUUACCAACAGAAUAAGCACCGGCUAACUUCGUG